UACAGAGGUCUCGAGCGUUGUUCGGAUUCAUUGGGCGUAAAGGGUGCGUAGGUGGCGCUGUAAGUCGGGUGUGAAAUCCUGAGGCUUAACCUCGGAACUGCAUUCGAUACUGCGGCGCUUGAGGACUGGAGAGGAGACUGGAAUUCAUGGUGUAGCAGUGAAAUGCGUAGAGAUCAUGAGGAAGACCAGUGGCGAAGGCGGGUCUCUGGACAGUUCCUGACACUGAGGCACGAAGGCCAGGGGAGCAAAAGGG
rnacentral:rRNA from 1 species